rnacentral:rRNA from 1 species
GAUGAACGCUAGCUACAGGCUUAACACAUGCAAGUCGAGGGGCAGCAUUUUAGUUUGCUUGCAAACUAAAGAUGGCGACCGGCGCACGGGUGAGUAACACGUAUCCAACCUGCCGAUAACUCGGGGAUAGCCUUUCGAAAGAAAGAUUAAUAUCCGAUGGUAUAUUAAAACCGCAUGGUUUUUACUAUUAAAGAAUUUCGGUCAUCGAUGGGGAUGCGUUCCAUUAGGUUGUUGGCGGGUAACGGCCCACCAAGCCUUCGAUGGAUAGGGGUUCUGAGAGGAAGGUCCCCCACAUUGGAACUGAGACACGGUCCAAACUCCUACGGGAGGCAGCAGUGAGGAAUAUUGGUCAAUGGACGAGAGUCUGAACCAGCCAAAGUAGCGUGAAAGGAUGACUGCCCUAUGGGUUGUAAACUUCUUUUUAUACGGGAAUAAAGUGAGGCACGUGUGCCUUUUUGUAUGUACCGUAUGAAUAAGGAUCGGCUAACUCCGUGCCAGCCG